rnacentral:lncRNA from 1 species
GGUAACCAGCGUAAAUAAACAUUCAUUUUAGAUUCCUUUGUGCAUUAUAAGCGUUAUAAAAUUUCUUUCGGGAAAUUUUUAAGGUUUAUUUUGUGCUUAUUUUGAGGAAUAUUAAUUAUUUCGAAGUUAUAUUAAUCGGUUUUAGUUAUAAGUUUGUUCGUUUGUCAUUUUUAGGUAAGUGAUUUGGAGGCGUAAGCAGUUGAGUUUUAUUGUGCUGGCGAUUGCUUCCUUUAAAGUCCUCAAACAAGCAGUUUUUUGACAAAUUUGGCUCAUUGAAUGUUUUAGAUUUUAUUUCGCCCAGUUAGUUUUAUUCUACAAAAUCAAAGAUUCUGAAGCACCCAACACUCAUUAAACUGAUUAGAUCUAAAAGUGCUGUGCUCCAUUGACAAACCAAGCAAGUAAGCAAGGUUUUUGGAAAAAUUUUACUCAUUGCAUCCUAUAGUAUUGGUACAUAGUUCCAUUCUACAAAAUCAAAGAUGCCAAAUAUGAGUAAAAAGUCCGCUAAGACGAAAAACAUCCAGCAAAAAAAAAAAUAUUUAGCCAAAAAGUUGGAAAAUACAGAAAGCGGUAACAAAGGGGAAAAUUUACAAAAUACUAGUAAACAAGUACAUGUGCAACACAAGUUGCCCAUAAACAAGAUCUCAGAGGAUAGUACAAGUAAGGUAAAAUUCAAUGAAGUUGUAAUAGAGUCUAAUAAGCGAAAGUCAUUGACGGUUAUUGACAACAAUGAAGUAUUGUCAUCAAAAACUGUUAAUCAUAAAAAACAAAAAGUUAUUGAUUCUUUUCAAAAGUUAUCCCAUACAGGUGAAAUUCAGAAUAGUGAAAAAAUGCAGGAAGACACUACAAUCAAUCAUCCAACCAAGUUUGAACUAGCAUUAAGAGAAGGCCCCACCAUUGUUUGCAGUUGUUGUUUGAGAUUAUGGUUUCCCACUUCAUGUACAAAAAUAAAUCUACAAUUGCUAAAAAACAAAUUUGGAAACCAAUUCAUUACACAAAUUUGCAAUGAUGGGGUUUUCUUUUGCAAGUCUUGCUCAUCAAAUAUUUAUAAAGGACAAUUGCCAAAGUUCUGGUCCGGCAAUCAUAAUAUUGUUCACCCUAUACCAGUUGAGCUAAAAGAUCUGACUAUCCUUGAAGAAAGGAUGGUGUCGGCCAGGUUACCUUUCAUGCAAAUCCGACAGGUAGGAUAUGCACGACAGUGUUACAUAACUGGCCAAAUAGUCAAUGUCCCUAUAAAUAUAGAUACUUCGACCAAAUAUUGCCUAGAAAUGUAGAGGAGACACAAACUAUUCAGGUUAAGCUCAAGAGAAAAAUGAACUAUAAAAAUGAUUAUCUCCUGGAAACCAUACGGCCCGCAGUUGUUCUAAAAGCGGCAAAAUUUUUGUGUCAACAACCUCUUUACAUACAAGAAGGCAUAAAGCAAUCAGAUGAUUGGGAAAAAAAUAUUAAUGACUAUAUACGAUCUCAAGUAGAAUCCUCUGCACAGAUCUUAAAUGAAGGCUCAAAAGUGUUGGAACUGGAUUCUAAAACAGUGUGUAGUGAAAAUUUUGAAGAAUUGUUCGAUAAUGCGUUUUUCGAAACAAU